UAGCAUAUCAAUAAGCGGAGGAAAAGAAACUAACCAGGAUUCCCCUAGUAACUGCGAGUGAAGCGGGAUGAGCUCAAAUUUAAAAUCUGGCGUCUUCGGCGUCCGAGUUGUAAUUUAGAGAAGCGUUUUCCGCGCCGGACCGUGUACAAGUCUCCUGGAACGGAGCGUCAUAGAGGGUGAGAAUCCCGUCUUUGACACGGACCCCCGGUGCUCUGUGAUACGCUCUCGAAGAGUCGAGUUGUUUGGGAAUGCAGCUCAAAAUGGGUGGUGAACUCCAUCUAAAGCUAAAUAUUGGCGAGAGACCGAUAGCGAACAAGUACCGUGAGGGAAAGAUGAAAAGCACUUUGGAAAGAGAGUGAAACAGUACGUGAAAUUGUUGAAAGGGAAACGCUUGAAGUCAGUCGCGUCCGCCGGGACUCAGCCGCAAGGUGUACUUUCCGGUGGACGGGCCAGCAUCACUUUCAAUCAUCGGAAAAGGGCGAGGGGAAUGUGGCACCUCCGGGUGUGUUAUAGCCCUUUGUCGUAUACGGUGACUGGGAGUGAGGACCGCCUUUGUAGGAUGCUGGCGUAAUGGCUUUAAACGACCCGUCUUGAAACACGGACCAAGGAGUCUAACAUGCCCGCGAGUGUUUGGGUGGAAAACCCAUGCGCGUAAUGAAAGUGAAAGUUGGGAAGGCUAUCGUGGCCUGCACCGACGCCCGGACUUGAGAUUUAUCGAAGGUUCUGCGGUAGAGCGUGUAUGUUGGGACCCGAAAGAUGGUGAACUAUGCCUGAAUAGGGUGAAGCCAGAGGAAACUCUGGUGGAGGCUCGUAGCGAUUCUGACGUGCAAAUCGAUCGUCAAAUUUGGGUAUAGGGGCGAAAGACUAAUCAAACCAUCUAGUAGCUGGUUCCUGCCGAU
rnacentral:rRNA from 1 species